rnacentral:rRNA from 1 species
GACGAACGCUGGCGGCGUGCUUAACACAUGCAAGUCGAACGCAGUGGCGAACGGGUGAGUAACGCGUAAUCAACCUGCCCUUCAGCGGGGGACAACAGUUGGACACGACUGCUAAUACCGCAUACUGAAGGAGGGCCUUGCGUCUGAUUAGCUAGUUGGAGGGGUAACGGCCCACCAAGGCGAAGAUCAGUAGCCGGGCUGAGAGGAGGAACGGACACAAUGGGAAUGAGACAAGGCCCAGAAUCCUACGGGAGGCAGCAGUGGGGAAUCUUCCGCAAUGGACGAAAGUCUGACGGAGCAACGCCGCGUGAGUGAUGACGGCCUUCGGGUUGUAAAGCUCUGUUAAUCGGGACGCGGUACCGGAAUAGAAAGCCACGGCUAACUACGUGCCAGCAGCCGCGGUAAUUC